AUCCCUAAAAUUACGUCAAAAUCCCUCGUGUCUAAUUGUAUCAAGUCUACACUCAGUUUUCUAUUUGCUAUCUCUACAGCACAAGCCUUGUAGACAACUUUUUCUAGUAAUGUUGCACUCCCAGCAGUAGAUACAAAUAAUAUUGAAUCAAGUUUAUCAGGUAAUACAUUAAAUUUGGAUGCAAAAACAGGUGAAACAAAUUAAUGCGAUGCACCAGUGUCAAACAAAACAUUAGCAAGAUGGUUACAGAUAGUGUACAUGCCCUAUACUACGUCCAGGUCGGCGUCGACAUCCUGCUGAGUGAGGUUGUAAGCCCUACCUUGAAUAGGAGGUCUUCCUUGAUUCUGGUUCCUUGGUCACUCUCUCACAUAGUGUUGGGCACUACCACAUAUGCGACAAGUGUUGUUGAGGCGGUAACAUGGUCGGUCCCCGUGAUCCAUGCCGCAAUGUUGACAGAUUUUACCACGUCCUGCCACUGGAGCGUGAGGGGGAUCCUGGAUCACCGGUCUGGGCCUCUUGUUCUGUUGGACAGGCGUAGUAGGUGUUGAUCUGUGGAAUGGAGCUGAGGGUCGGUGGUUCCCUGCUGGCGGAGGGAGGGUGUGGAGGCUCCUUUCAACUAACUGUGUCUUGGUCAGAAUAGCUGAGUAUGUCUUGAGCUCCAAAACAAAUAGAUGUUGUUUGAUCUCCGAGUAGAGGCCCCACUAGAACCUCCUAGCCUUCCUACCCUCAUCAAUCAACGUCUCUAGGGAGUAUCUGCCCAACUCCAGGAACUUACGGGCAUAUUCUGACACCGUUAUGUUCCCCUGGACCAAUUGGACAAAUUCUAUCUCCUUUAGAUGUCGGAUAUACUCUAGGAGGUACUCUGCAUUGAAGGCUACUAAGAACUGUUCCCAAGUGACUAGAACAGGUAGGGUGGUUUGCUUGAGUUCCCACCAAUGGUCUGCUUCUCCCACCAGCAUGUACGUAGUAAGGGUGACCCUUGCUCGGAAGUCACUCCUAGGGUCUUGAAGACCUUCUCCGUCUCUGCCAACCAAUACUGGGCAUUUUCAAAUGAGGAUUCCCCUCUAAAAGUGGAUGGGUUCAGUCUCCUGUACCUCUCUACGUAGCUUGUGUCAAUCAUGGACUGAGUUGGGUCCGGCAGAAGUGGGACUGGGCCAGACUGAGGAUAAACUAGGGGGUCCUGUGGUG
rnacentral:lncRNA from 1 species